rnacentral:rRNA from 1 species
UACGUAGGGGGCAAGCGUUGUCCGGAUUUAUUGGGCGUAAAGAGCGUGUAGGCGGUCAGGUAGGUCCGUUGUGAAAACUCGAGGCUCAACCUCGAGACGCCGAUGGAAACCCCCGAACUAGAGUCCGGAAGAGGAGAGUGGAAUUCCCGGUGUAGCGGUGAAAUGCGCAGAUAUCGGGAAGAACACCCGUGGCUAAGGCGGCUCUCUAGUACGGUACUGACGCUGAGACGCGAAAGCGUGGGGAGCGAACAGG